rnacentral:rRNA from 1 species
UAUGACAUGCUUUCUCCAGUACGAAAGGACCGAGAAAGGGAGGCCAAUCCUAUAGGGACGCCUGAUCUCCAAGUAGUGAAUACAACUAAACUACCAUAAGGAGUAUAACCAAAUAUUGAACUCCUAAAAAAGGACU